AGCUCUUUCUGUGGCAGAGGGUGGAGGAGAAAAGGAGACCUGGGGCAGCUCAACCCACUGUGAGGACCAGACGCUGAUGACCAUGGCCUGGACUCCAGUCCUCCUCUUGCUCCUCUGUCUUGGCACAGGCUCCCUGUCCCAGCUUGUAGUGACUCAGCCACCCUCUGUGUCUGCAAACCUGGGAACAUCAGCCAGACUCACGUGCACUCUGAGCAGCGGCUUCAGUGUUGGCAGCUAUUCUAUAACUUGGUUCCAGCAGAAGCCAGGCAGCUCUCCCCAGUAUCUCCUGUGGUUCUACUCAGACUCAAGCAAGCACCAGGGCUCCGGGGUCCCCAGCCGCUUCUCCGGGUCCAAAGAUGCCUCGGCCAAUGCAGGAAUUCUGCUCAUCUCUGGGCUGCAGGCUGAGGACGAGGCUGACUACUACUGUGCUACAGCUCAUGGCAGUGGGAGCAACUAUCGUUACUCACAAUGUCUCAGACAAUGA